rnacentral:rRNA from 1 species
CGAGCAUGGAUAAUAAUCGGGCAUAAGUAUACUACCGAAGCUAUGGACUUGUAAAAGUGGUAGGGGAGCAUUCUAUUUGCGCAGAAGGUGUACUGUGAGGUAUGCUGGAGCGGAUAGAAAAGAAAAUGUAGGCAUAAGUAACGAUAAAGGGGGCGAGAAACCCCCUCACCGAAAGACUAAGGUUUCCUCAGCGAUGCUAAUCAGCUGAGGGUUAGUCGGGACCUAAGGCGAAUCCGAAGGGAGUAGUCGAUGGACAACAGGUUAAUAUUCCUGUACUUCUUAUAAAUGCGAUGGGGUGACGGAGUGAUGAACCCGCCGCGAGCUGACGGAAAUGCUCGUUGAAGUAUGUAGGUAUUGGAUUUAUAGUUAAAUGCGUAGAUCUAGCCGAAGUACGAUAGUACCACAAUUCUUCGGAUGCGUGGAUAGUGCGGCUAAGGGCUUCCAAGAAAAACCUCUAAGCUUCAGUUUAUAAGAACCCGUACCGUAAACCGACACAGGUAGUUGGGAUGAGAAUUCUAAGGUGCUCGAGAGAUUCAUGGCUAAGGAACUAGGCAAAAUAGACCUGUAACUUCGGGAGAAAGGUCGCCAGCAGUAAUGCUGGCCGCAGUGAAAAGAUCCAGGCGACUGUUUAUCAAAAACACAGGGCUUUGCUAAAUUGAAAGAUGAUGUAUAAGGCCUGACACCUGCCCGGUGCUGGAAGGUUAAGAGGAGAGCUUAGCGCAAGCGAAGGUUUGAAUUGAAGCCCCAGUAAACGGCGGCCGUAACUAUAACGGUCCUAAGGUAGCGAAAUUCCUUGUCGGGUAAGUUCCGACCUGCACGAAUGGCGUAACGAUGGCUACACUGUCUCCACCUAAGACUCAGUGAAAUUGAAUUUGCUGUUAAGAUGCAGUAUACCCGCGGCUAGACGGAAAGACCCCGUGAACCUUUACUAUAGCUUUAUAUUGAAUAUUAAUUUUAUUUGUGUAGGAUAGAUGGUAGAUAAUGAUGCAAAGGCGCUAGCUUUUGUUAAAUCAACCUUGAAAUACCAUCCUUUUGAUUUUGAUAUUCUAACUUAUU